GGGGGUGAACGGUUUCGACAUCGGUUAUUGAGAUGAGUGAAGCGUGCCGAGGAUCAACGGUUAUCUCGUUAACGACCCGUUGAAAACAACAAGUGCCGAUUCAAAUCGCACUGGUGUGUCAGCCAAGGCUGACGUCGCUCUCGCUGCCUAAGCGAAAGUGAUAACCCGUCGGCCCAGGGGUGUCUCCCCUCGGGUGUCCGGCGUCGACUAGGAGACUCACCAACCGCUCCGGUCAUCGGGAGCGCGAGGGACAUCAAACAGUGACUGGGCCGCGUUUCCCGCAGGGUCGUACGACAGUGGGAAGGCCGAGAACGCGUUCAACACGACUACGCACGUAGAAGCCUCUGAUUGGUACCGAUGGACCCGGGUUCGAUUCCCGGCACCUCCACAC
rnacentral:tmRNA from 1 species